rnacentral:tRNA from 1 species
GAUAGAAGAUAAUCUAAAAAAAGCUUCUAACUUUUUCAAAAGCGGCGAACCUCCGUUUUUCUAUCU